GUCCACUCUCAUUGUGUUUUAUUUACCAGCUUGCUUUUAAAGAGCCAGGACCAGUCCACUAGCUGUGCAGAGUGCUGACCUCUUGGAUGAGAGCCCUGACCUCAUAGGAUAUCUGAGCUUGUCAUAAUUCAGGUGGGUUCUGUAGGGAAGCAGGGGCUCGUGGGGAGUGGGAGGAAGCUGGGGAGAAGAUGAGUUGAGAGCAGUCCAGUGUGAGGGAAAGUGGGGAUCCUGGGCCAACUUACCAUUAAGAGGGUCCAGUCCUGUGACUGCUGUGAAGUAACCAGGAUUCCACAUAGAGAUGGGGCUCAAAGUCAGCCCAGGAGCAGCACUGUGGUCCCAGGUGGUCCUUCAAGGAUUUCUUGGUUUUGGGUUUUGAAAUGUGUAAGGUUUGCUGCUAGCAACUCCACAUUUUUUUAUUCACUCACAAAGACACAUGGUCAUAAAUAAAAUGCAUGGAACCAGCGAGACAAUAGCACAGCAGUAAUGUCAUUUUAUAUGCAGCAUGGCCCUGUUGUGAACGGAAUGAUUGUGAACGGAAUGAUGGCCAAGGAGCUUUAUGCUUCUGCACCGCCAGCUCACACGAUGGUCCGUGUAUUGCCCCGUGGAAAACCGGGGGUGGAAAGCUGUCUCCACGUUCUGCUGCCGAAGCAGCAAGCUGAUUCACACAUCUUGAAGGCACAGUGGAACAUGGAAGGGUGCAUAUGAGACUUGAUUUUGAGGAUGAAACUUCCUGUCUGAAUCGCUAAGUCUCCCAGCAGGGGUGUUAAUGUCCCUGUGAGAUGCAGGCUUCCCACAGACACACCCAGGUUGCGAGUGGGUUCAACAUGGUCACAGGAGCUUCAAAUGGUGAUCCUGAUGCUCAUGGCCAUGCAUUGAGAACAACUGUGUAAGAAGAUAUGGAUAAUGCUUGAAAACUACUAGUAUUAGCACCAUUUUGCAUAUACUCCAAGGAAGAUCUCAAUAAAUGCUUAAUGGAAAUAAGUAAAGGUAUGAAUGCUGGACCUAAUACAGGAGGAAGACCCAGGUGAUUUGUGUACAAUUUGGACACAAGCUCUUGCCAACCACCUGAGAGAUUCCAACAAUGAGAUGAGAUUCCUUACCUUGAACCAGAUAAUUUGGAAUGAAUGUCUAGGCAGAACUUCUGCUUCAGAAUGACCACAAUUAACUACCAGACAACCAACUUUGGGGACAUAUCAGUAGGUGCAGAGCAUUUAGAACUGGAAGGACCAUUUGAAAUACAUAGUUCAUCUCUCUCAUGUUACUGAGGAGGAAAACUGAAGUGCACGGAGGUAAAGUAACUCGCCCAGUAUCACAAUUUGUGUUUGUACCAUUGCUGAGGUGAGCACCUGGGCCUUCUAACCCCAAA
rnacentral:lncRNA from 1 species